GAGGGAGAAGAAAAGGAAAGAUGAAGAAUUAAGGUGUGUUCAGUACAUGCGGCUACUCCCCACGAGGAGCACGACCACUGUGCACUAACGAGCUAAAGGUGUAAUGAAGAAAAAAUUAGAAACGAAAACAAACACUACAACAAAACCCUCCUCCAGUGACUCUGUAGCGGAGCUGCCUUGAGGAUCACAGCCCGGGGUCACACCGGUCCCCUCCAUUGGGCCUCAGAGCCAGGAAGAGCUGAGCUUCUGGGAAACAGCGGAGGCCUGAUCUUCCGGGCAGUGUUCACCCACUGCCAGCCGGGUUUCUCACUGAUCCUUCGCGGAGCAGCGCAGGCCGAUCUCCUCGGCCGCAGCGCUCACCAGGAGGCACACCUCCUCCUUUCCUCUGAACUUGCCCCUCCGAACGUUCCAUGUCGACUUUCAUUGUUCUCUGGAUUUAACUUCCAUUUUCUUGUCCAACAUUUUUCAUCCGUGAGAGCAAAGCAGACAAACAGGCACAUUCAUAAAGGGUCCCAAGCCCUGGAGGGAACAAGGCUGGGUUCGGAAGCGCAGAGGCAGAAGCACGUCUGGGGCCAUCUGUAAUCAGGCUGUGUGGGGGAGCGGACCACUCCUGCCCCAGACCGAGACCUGCUUGGGAUCACUACACCUCAGCCACAGGCAGUGUCUCAUGCACGUCAAGGAGACAGGCGGUCGUCCGCCCAGGUAGUCGAAACAGAAGCACACGGACCUCAACUACUGACCAACCCAGAAAGACGUGCCCUAAAUACGAAGACGUCAUAGUCCGAAACGCACCUUCCGUGCACAUUAAAGCCUCACCCUGCAAGUCACAAGCCCGGGACCGCCAGGUGCUCCAUCUCCAUGGCAGCCGUAUGCAUGGGAUAAACAGAGGCAAAGAUUCGUUCUUUGAAGAUUCAAUGCGACCGACCUAACCCAGCCAUCACGGAAAACCAUGUCGUACAGGAACAAUGUAUAACUUUAAAGGUUGGUCAACUACUGGGACUGCAAAAAAAAAAAACAGAAGACCAAGAACAGGAAGGUGUCCCCGCCCCCUCGAGCGCAGCACUAACAGACCAGGUGGAGAUGGAGGGCGGGCGUGAGUGCCCGACCCUGCCCAGGGCGAGCCCAGGGACCCAGCCUGUGCAGCAGGAGCCACUGCCACCGGAGCCAGCGUCGGAUCUGGGCCCCAGCUUUCGGAGUCCGAGGGCCUUGAGUCGGCUUUAACGGGGCCUGGCUGUGGGCACACGGGAGUCCAUGCUGGGGAGAGACAUGGGAGCCACCGCUCCUGCCGUGGCUGCCAUCACCUGGGGUCACCCUGGAUCCUGAUACUAAACACAUCUGGUACAGUGAGCAAUCCUGUGAGUGUCACCGUGCACAGACAGCUGAGUCUACAGGCCUGGGAAACAUCACCUCUGUGGCAAUUUGAAGGGAGCACUGCGCCCCAUCUCUGCCGCUGGCAAGCUGCUCGGGUACCUGAGGAAUUGUGGAGCUGUACCUUGGGUGCUUGGGGGAGCACAGCAUUAGUGAAUAAAAAACACUACAGAUUGCAAGGGAGACAAAGGGAGAAGAAAGUGUUGUAUUUGGCAUCUAUUGCAAUACGUUUUUCCUUCCUGCCUCUUAGACAGGGGCCCAUAUUUUACUUUGCACUAGGGCCUUCAAGCCCUGCGGCUGUCCCCAGAUGGAGACGGUGUCAAAGCCUCUCAGAGCCCAGCCCAUGUGCCCCCUACUGAAGCACCUGGUGUCACCUUGGUGUUCCUGGGUUCCACCUCAGAAUCCGGCCUCUGGUCCCCAUUGACUUCCUUCUUCUGGGGGCCCCUCUGCAACUCC